UUGCCUCCAGUGACCCAGUAAGUGCCUUGUUCCUUGUUUUUCCUCCCUUUUUAUCUCCCUCUUCUCUCCGCAUGCAUUGUUUCCAGCCAGUUUGCUAGUAUUCCUUGUCUUCUCUCCACGUGUUGUAAGGUCUCCCAGUAUCCCAGUCUCCCAGUAUUCUUCCUCUCCCUUUCUUUCCCAGUGCAUAUACCCUGUCACUCUCCUUCCUCUUUUCUCCUCAUUAUCCUAGUAUCCUUUCUCUUCUCUCAUCUUCUAGUGCAAUUUCCCAGUCAUUCUUUCACUAUCCCAAUAUUCUUUUUCCUCUCUCCUCUCCCAGUUCAUUGUCUAAGUCAGUAUCCCACAGUAUCUCAGUAGUCUUUCUCUUUUCCUCCUUUUCCUCUCCCAGUGCUAAGUCCCUCCCAGUAUCCCUGUGUCAGUAUCGCCCCCGGGUGCAGGUGUUGUCCCGGGCCUCACCUGCUUCUACCUGCUCGUACCUACUCCGGCCGCCACGCCCACCUAUUAAGGUCAAGACGAGACGCAGAAGACAAAAUAAAGCAGCCUUCGCAACGCCUCGCCUCGCUGGAUCACGUUACACUCCACGGAACAAGAUUAUAAAGCAGGAGAGAAGAGGACUGGGAGAGGACUGGGAAAGGAGGAGGGAGAAAAGGAAGAGGACGAGGCGCAGUGGGAGAGGUCACGAGUACCAGUUGACCUCGCCAGGAUGUGACGCCCCGGAAUGUGACCUCUGACCUCGCCCCUGCUAUCGCCGCCCCGCCGUUGUGACACUGGAGAAAAUGAAGCCAAUCUAGGCAAGUCGCGGCACGGCGGGUCGGCAGCGGCUCAAAACCAAUGACCUCACGCUACCUGGCUACACCUGGUGCUAGU